rnacentral:lncRNA from 1 species
GGACGUCAGGCUCUCUAAGGACGACGUGGUUCUUCCUUGUGAGGUUGAGGCGCCCGAGAGGCGAUCAGAGCUCAGAGCCGAUUCAUUCCUGCUUGACUUUGGGUCGGUGCCUCGUGAGCGAGCUCAUUUCCCGGGGUUGCGGGUCCUUGCCUGGGGACACGCGAGUUGGAGAGCGCGUGCACCGGUCGUUCCCUUCCCGUGCUGCCCGCGUCCGGAUCGUCGGGACCCGGUUGUCUCUAGUAUGUGGAAAGGCUCGGGCUGGGAACUUCGAGGGAGGAGUUACCCCCUCGAGAUCCGGAGGACCAGAGCGGAGAGCAGGGCCACUGAGACCCUACAGGAUAUGACUCCGAGGAUCGCGUGCUGGACACGAGUGGCUACCGAGCCCGGAGAGCUUCGCGCUGCCUCCUCCUGGUCCCUUUCCAGAGGACUCUUUUCAGUCGGGGAUGCUUAUUAAAGCUCUGGCGGGAAAGAGAGAAUCACAAUUAAAGAAAUUAGUCCUACUCUGCAACGUCGGACACUUUAAUAGUAACUGGGGAGCGAUUGCGUUCAGGGAGAUCGAGGACAAGUAUCCUGGCCAGAUCCUGACAUGUUUUCCCGCAGUUUGAACCAGAAGAAACCACAAGGCUCUGCUGAUUGGUCCAAGUCCUUGGAAGUGGCAAGAAGCCAUUUGAACACCACUAGAGGUUCUUUGGGGCAUUUCUCUCUAUGAAUUCACAACAAACAAUGACAGUGAAGACAAAACCCAACAACCAGCAAAGAACGGUUGGAAAAUUGAGAGUGUAAUGUUAACAGUAAAGUUUAACCUUUUAAGCUGGUGGAGGAAGUUCAGACCACACCUGAACUGGUACCUGAGAUGACAGCACUGAAUCUGAAGACAAAGAAGGAUCAAAUUAGAACUGACUAUUAUUAGUCACUACUUCAGAAAGUCUUUUUACCUUAUUUUGGUAUGUUUAGUUAUUACUAUGAUUUGUAUGACUUUUACAUGUGUUUGAAAAGUAACAGAAGCUAAAGGCCAUUGUACAACUGGGUAACAGUCCCGUUUUCGUUCUCUUGCAUUUGGUUUGCCAUUCUGUAGCUGUGACUCCAGCUUGCUUUAGUUGAGCCUUGUCAUUCUUCACUCUCUGCAAACCAUUCCACGGAUUUGUUUUUCUUCACAAAAUUAGUUUCAUUUUCUUUGUUUGAUUGAUGGUCAUUGGCUACUGAAAUAAAAUAUGCAUUUUAAGGUAAAUUGUAUGUAUUUUUUAAGAUAAAACUUUGUGUAUUUUAAAA